CCGGAGAAGUGGGGAUGACGUCAAGUCCUCAUGGCCCUUAUAGGUGGGGCUACACACGUCAUACAAUGGCUGGUACAAAGGGUUGCCAACCCGCAGGGGGAGCCAAUCCCAUAAAGCCAGUCGUAGUCCGGAUCGUAGUCUGCAACUCGACUACGUGAAGUCGGAAUCGCUAGUAAUCGUGGAUCAGAAUGUCACGGUGAAUACGUUCCCGGGUCUU
rnacentral:rRNA from 1 species